AUUGAACGCUGGCGGCAGGCCUAACACAUGCAAGUCGAACGAGAGGCGGGCGGGUGAGUAAUGUAUGGGGAACUGCCCGAUGGAGGGGGAUAACUACUGGAAACGGUAGCUAAUACCGCAUACCAUCAGAUGUGCCCAGAUGGGAUUAGCUAGUAGGUGGGGUAACGGCUCACCUAGGCGACGAUCCCUAGCUGGUCUGAGAGGAUGAUCAGCAGCACGGGAAGUUGGACACGGUCCAGACGCCUACGGGAGGCAGCAGUGGGGAAUAUUGCACAAUGGGCGCAAGCCUGAUGCAGCCAUGCCGAGUGUAUGAAGAAGGCCCUAGGGGUGUAAAGUACUUUCAGCGGGGAGGCGUUACCGGCAGAAGAAGCACCGGCUAACUCCGUGCCAGCAGCCGCGGUAAUUC
rnacentral:rRNA from 1 species